CGGAGUGAACGCACCACUGGUGUUCGGGUUGUCAUGCCAAUGGCAUUGCCCGGUAGCUAAGUGCGGAAGAGAUAACCGCUGAAAGCAUCUAAGCGGGAAACUUGCCUCGAGAUGAGUCUUCCCUGUCACUUUAAGUGACCUAAAGGAACGUUUAAGACUAAGACGUUGAUAGGCUGGGUGUGUAAGCGUAGCGAUACGUUGAGCUAACCAGUACUAAUGAACCGUGAGGCUUAACCUG
rnacentral:rRNA from 2 species